rnacentral:rRNA from 1 species
CCUACGGGUGGCAGCAGUGAGGAAUAUUGGUCAAUGGGCGCGAGCCUGAACCAGCCAAGUCGCGUGAGGGAAGACGGUCCUAUGGAUGGUAAACCUCUUUUGUCGGGGAGCAAAAGACGCCACGUGUGGCGUUCCGAGAGUACCCGAAGAAAAAGCAUCGGCUAACUCCGUGCAAGCAGCCGCGGUAAUACGGAGGGUGCGAGCGUUAACUGGAGUUAUUGGGGUUAAAGGGUGAGUAGGCGGAUUGAUAAGUGAGAGGUGAAAUGUCGGAGCUUAACUCGGGAACUGCCUCUAAUCCGGUUGUGCUAGAGCGUAGAUGCGGUAGGCGGAAUGUAUGGUGUAGCGGUGAAAUGCUUAGAGAUCAUACAGAACACCGAGUGCGAAGGCAGCUUACCAAUCUAUAUCUGACGUUGAGGCACGAAAGCGUGGGGAGCAAACAGGAUGAGAUACCCGAGUAGUC